rnacentral:rRNA from 1 species
AAUCUAUCGUACCAACACCGCGAACCAUUGAUGUCCUCUCAAUUUACCCAGCAGGGUGCCGCGAUACGUGCCGCUUAAUGGCAUUGCCCAUAAAGGGGUCCACGAUACGUGCUGCAGCAUUGCCUAUAAAGGGGCCCGCGAUACGUGCCUGGACAUUGAGUUUAAAGGGUAAACUGCUGGUGAGAGCGCAGGUCAGGGGCUGCAGCUCUUUGGCUGUAGUUGACUUGGCUGGGCGGGUCCAAUACCAAUUGGGUUCCUCUCCUGUUUCGGUUAGAGGUUACUCAGCUGUGAGGGGUGACUUGACCAACAAUUAAGCUUUAUUUCUGAAGACAGGCUGUUAGCUGGCUUGCUGGCUGCAGACUGAUUUAACGAAAGAC